UAGGGAAUCUUCGGCAAUGGGGGGAACCCUGACCGAGCAACGCCGCGUGAGUGAAGAAGGUUUUCGGAUCGUAAAGCUCUGUUGUAAGAGAAGAACGGGUGUGAGAGUGGAAAGUUCACACUGUGACGGUAUCUUACCAGAAAGGGACGGCUAACUACGUGCCAGCAGCCGCGGUAAUACGUAGGUCCCGAGCGUUGUCCGGAUUUAUUGGGCGUAAAGCGAGCGCAGGCGGUUAGAUAAGUCUGAAGUUAAAGGCUGUGGCUUAACCAUAGUAUGCUUUGGAAACUGUUUAACUUGAGUGCAGAAGGGGAGAGUGGAAUUCCAUGUGUAGCGGUGAAAUGCGUAGAUAUAUGGAGGAACACCGGUGGCGAAAGCGGCUCUCUGGUCUGUAACUGACGCUGAGGCUCGAAAGCGUGGGGAGCAAACAGGAUUAGAUACCCCCGUAGUCC
rnacentral:rRNA from 1 species